GACGAACGCUGGCGGCGUGCUUAACACAUGCAAGUCGAACGGAAAGGCCCUGCUUUUGUGGUGUUCUCGAGUGGCGAACGGGUGAGUAACACGUGAGUAACCUGCCCUUGACUUUGGGAUAACUUCAGGAAACUGGGGCUAAUACCGGAUAGGAGCUCCUGCUGCAUGGUGGGGGUUGAAAAGUUUCGGCGGUUGGGGAUGGACUCGCGGCUUAUCAGCUUGUUGGUUGGGUAGUGGCUUACCAAGGCUUUGACGGGUAGCCGGCCUGAGAGGGUGACCGGCGACAUUGGGACUGAGAGACGGCCCAGACGCGUACGGGAGGCAGCAGUGGGGAAUAUUGCACAAUGGGCGGAAGUCUGAUGAAGCAACGCCGCGUGCGGGAUGACGGCCUUUGGGUUGUAAAACGCUUUAGCCUGUGACGAAGCGUGAGUGACGGUAAUGGGUAAAGAAGCACCGGCUAACUACGUG
rnacentral:rRNA from 1 species